CUGUACAGUUCAGAUUUGAUCCUGGCUCAGGAUUAACGCUAGCGGCAGGCCUAAUACAUGCAAGUUGAACGGGAUUUCGGGUAGCAAUAUCUGAAUGAGAGUAGCGCACGGGUGCGUAACACGUAUGCAACCUACCUAUAACUGGGGGAUAGCCUCCCGAAAGGGAGAUUAAUACCGCAUAACAUUAUGAAGUGGCAUCACUUUAUAAUUAAACUUCAGAGGGUUAUAGAUGGGCAUGCGUCCGAUUAGCUAGUUGGUGAGGUAACGGCUCACCAAGGCUCCGAUCGGUAGGGGGUCUGAGAGGAUGAUCCCCCACACUGGUACUGAGACACGGACCAG
rnacentral:rRNA from 1 species